rnacentral:rRNA from 1 species
UACGUAGGGUGCGAGCGUUGUCCGGAAUUACUGGGCGUAAAGCGUGCGUAGUCGGUAUUGAGAGUCACGGGUGAAAUCCCAGGGCUUAACCCUGGAACUGCCUGUGAGACCUCAGUACUAGAGUGUGAGAGGGGAUAGUGGAAUACCCAGUGUAGCGGUGAAAUGCGUAGAGAUUGGGUGGAACACCGGUGGCGAAGGCGGCUCACUGGACCGGUACUGACGCUGAUGGCGCGAAAGC